rnacentral:lncRNA from 1 species
GGAGAGGCCAAGAGACCUCUACUUUUCAGACUGUUUCCCACGUCUUUUCAGCCUCUGGUGCCCUGGUGCGAUGGGAAGUAGGCAAGUAGCCUAUGGUCUAAUGGAAGUAGCCUCUUGCAGUGCGGAAAGUAGCCGUAGCACUGUAGCAAGAAAAUUUAAAAUUUUACUGUAGCUCGUAUUUCUCUGCGGUGGGCCUUGCUUCGGCCCGAGGCCUUAGGCGACCGCCUAUCUCGCCUAAGGGUCGGGCCGGCCCU